rnacentral:ncRNA from 2 species
UCCAAUUGCCGGGGGAGCCGAACGGCUGAGAGUGCGCUAGGCGCAGACCCUGUUUACCUGAUCCGGAUAAUACUGGCGUAGGGAGGCACAGAUAAUGACCG